rnacentral:rRNA from 1 species
UGCGCAGGCGGUUUGCCAAGUUCGUGGCGACGGCCAUCGGCUUAACCGAUGGAGGACUACGAAAACUGGCAGACUUGAGAGCGAGAGAGGGACAUGGAACUCCGGGUGGAGCAGUGAAAUGCGUAGAGAUCCGGAAGAACACCGAAGGCGAAGGCAGUGUCCUAGCUCGUUUCUGACGCUCAAGCACGAAAGCUAGGGGAGCGAACA